UGGGGAAUUUUGGACAAUGGGCGAAAGCCUGAUCCAGCCAUGCCGCGUGAGUGAAGAAGGCCUUCGGGUUGUAAAGCUCUUUUAGUCGGAAAGAAAGAGUCGCAAUGAAUAAUUGUGAUUUAUGACGGUACCGACAGAAAAAGCACCGGCUAACUACGUGCCAGCAGCCGCGGUAAUACGUAGGGUGCGAGCGUUAAUCGGAAUUACUGGGCGUAAAGGGUGCGCAGGCGGUCUUGCAAGUCGGAUGUGAAAGCCCCGGGCUUAACCUGGGAAUUGCGUUUGAAACUACAAGGCUAGAGUGCAGCAGAGGGGAGUGGAAUUCCAUGUGUAGCAGUGAAAUGCGUAGAGAUGUGGAAGAACACCGAUGGCGAAGGCAGCUCCCUGGGUUGACACUGACGCUCAUGCACGAAAGCGUGGGGAGCAAACA
rnacentral:rRNA from 1 species